rnacentral:rRNA from 1 species
UUCGGACUGGAGUCUGCAACCCGACUCCACGAAGUUGGAUUCGCUAGUAAUCGCGCAUCAGCCAUGGCGCGGUGAAUACGUUCCCGGGCCUUGUACACACCGCCCGUCAAGCCAUGGGAGCCGGGGGUGCCUGAAGUGCGCUGCCGCAAGGAGCGCCCUAGGGUAAAACCGGUGACUGGGGCUAAGUCGUAACAAGGUAAC